AAAACUUUUCCCCUGAGUUUCCACCGCCUCAUUCAUUCCAUUUCUUUUGUUCUUUCUUUUCUUCCUUUGUCUGGUUUAGCUGGGAAAAAUCGGGAGAAAGAGAACAGAGGAAACAGACAGAGAGAGAGAGAGAGAACAAGAAAGAGAGCCAGAGAACGAGACAGAGAGCGAGAUGGAGAGCAAUUGUGUGGUAGAGAACUUGGCUGGAAAUUCACGGAGGGGGACUAAGGACUCGGCUUGGAGAACAGGGAGAUGGAGGGAGUCUGUUGGUUUUGAGUUGGACUGAGGAUGAAUGGUUCUUCGAACGAUUAGGCUAUAUUCAUGAUUGAUAGGAGCUGAGGACAUCGGUUGUGCAUUCUGAAGGUCAAGUUGGUGAAUAUUUUUGGUAUUAGAUAAGCUUCUAGCUGCACAGAAGAACUUUUUGGAUAUCGGGGAUCAGCUCUGAAGACUAUGUAGUGACCUUAGUUAUUUGAUAGGUAUUCUUUAUAUAUAUGUGUGUGUGUGUGUGAGUUUGCUGGAUGGUUAUAUGUUGUUGGGAGUUAUGGAAAACAUGUUUUUAUGUGAAUAGUUUAUAUGAUAAUGGAUAUCGAGAAAACUUAGAGGAAACUCUAUUGAAAUUUCGGGUUGUGACGUCAAUGGAGUGCUUUUCUCUA